GGAAGAGUUUGGGUUCCUGGUUCUGCCAGUUCUGAAACGUGUGGCUUCUUCGGGGAUCAGCUCCUGCUACCCAGGACCAGGCCCCUUCGGAGUUCAUCAAUUUUAUUUGUCUUUGCAAAGAAUCGGCUUUUGGCUCACUCUACCGUGAAAAAGGAAUGUCAAAGAAAAUUGAGACUUCUGGUCAGCAGGCCCAGGAGAGCUUCUAACCAGUGGCCGGAAACAACUUUCAAUUUCCAGUCUUGGUAGUGAGCUCAUUUUGGACCUUACAGCUGUUCCACAUCUCAGCUGAAAUCCAUUGAAGCAGAAGCCCUUAAUGGCUAAGCAUGCGACCUGCAUGACUGGCUCCUCAAUGCCUCAGGAACCAUCAGCGCCUCCCACCCUUGAUGUUGUGGAGCAAAGACCACCCACCUCAGAUUUCCCCACCAAUAUUCCAGUAAAGGUAGCCAAAGUGUGUCCGUGAAUUCACCACAGCAGAGUGAAGCUGCAUCUCAAAACUGGGGGUGCAUUCCUGAUCCAACAAUGCUGAGCAAGCUGACCAUACAGAAGAAGCAAUCCUCAACUCCAGAGGCUCCGGGAGACUGCAGCCCUGCUUUAAUCACUCUGGAAGCUGACUAAUCUACACAUGGCAGAGUCUUGAGGAAUCGAUGAUCUGGUGCAAUGAAAGACUGUCCUUAUUUUCUAUAUCUGUUUCCUUACUAUGAUGCACUGUUACCCCUUGUUUCUCACUGUUAUUGAGAUUCUUGCUCUGCCCUUCACCGUAGGAUUGGCAGAGGCCACCCAGGCCCGCUGGGAAUGUGGUGAGAGGUUUCUGUUAGCACUCACCUUCCUUUUGUGGAUAGGAUGCUUCGUUGGCACCAAAAACAGUAGCCAUCAGAGACUAG